rnacentral:sRNA from 2 species
AGAUAAUUUUCAUGAGAGUAUUGUUUCUUUUGAAGGUUGCUCCCAAAUGGACAGGAAAAUAGCUGAUAGCUGAAUCCAACAUUCUCCAAGCAUGCUCCAGAAAUUGAGCCCAUUCCGUACCCCGGUGAGCUUACAUCUGAUCUGGUACGACUAGCUUUCCCUUCAUUACAGCCUUGUACUGACCCAGGUGUGAUUCUCCUUGCGGUUUGGCGCGCUGUCUCGUAGCCAUGGCUUAGGCGGUGUCCAAGGACGGAUACGAAUGUUCAGAGCCAGCGUCACGAUAAAUGGUUGUUGUGAAGGGUUGAUUCGGAGAGAAGGCCGUUGUAGUUCGAGCCAGCAGCCUUGAAUUCGCUCCGAGUAAUCUUGACAACCGCAGAAACGCCAGAAAUGCGCUCGCGGCAGCACGUCUGUGAAAGCUACUAGUCACUAUGGGCUUACUGACCUUCUCUAUCAAGGCGAUUCAAAUAAGUGAAUAUGAUAUGGCUGUCUAUCCAUGAUGCUCAAGCGGAAGAGACAUAGAUGCAGGAUCUCUGGCCGUUGUGACGGCCAGGAAUUAAUGAUAUGCUACCGUAGCCUUGCACUAUGGGUUGAAUCUGCCAUAAGUCAUAGUAGCGACGUUGUAGGGUCAGGCCACGGGCCCAGCUGCGGGAGGACCCAGUAAAGCUCAUAUUCAUCACCAUUUGUAGUUCAAGUGCAAAUACAUCAUCAGCAGUCUCGAGGCCACAGAAGAAGUCCCAGGUAAAGCACAUUACAAGAGAGAGUCUCACAAACUGGGUUCAAAUACAGAGAAAGAAAUUUAAUGUUCUCCCUGCAUAGGGCGCCAACAACAGUCAUGCAGCGUAGGUUGAGUGACACAGCCAUGGAGGAAAGUGGACUAACUACUUCUUUUCCCUUAACUUACGGGUCGUGCCCUUGGUGUAACUAACUCAAGGUUAGUUAACUAGUGACUUAUCAGGUUGAUGAUUGCCUCGUUGUUGACCAGGUUUGAAGCAAGCUUUCCCCUUGCCAUAUCGCUGAUCCAGAGAGAGCAUGAAUGAUAAUGUGCUGUUCGACUCAAUAUUUCGCUCGCUAGUGGACUGCUGUGGCUGUGUCAUGGCUCCACAGUCAUUCUUCACACAAAGACUGGC